rnacentral:misc_RNA from 1 species
GCUCCGUAGGUGAACCUGCGGAGGGAUCAUUACAGAGUUCUCGCCCUCGCGGGUAGAUCUCCCACCCACUGUUAUCGUUACUGUGUUGCUUUGGCGGGCCGCCGGGCCCCGCUCGGCCGCCGGCCCCGGCUGGCGCGCGCCCGCCAGAGGCCCAGCAAACUCUGAAUGUUAGUGUCGUCUGAGUACUAUAUAAUAGUUAAAACUUUCAACAACGGAUCUCUUGGUUCUG